CUGCGGCGGCCUAUACAUGCAAGUCGAACGGUAACAGUCCCGGCAACGGGAGCUGACGAGUGGCGCACGGGUGCGUAACACGUAUGCAACCUACCCUGUACUGGGGGAUAACCCUGAGAAAUCGGGGCUAAUACCCCAUGGUAAUAUAGAAGGACAUCCUUUUAUAUUUAAAGAUUCAUUGGUACGGGAUGGGCAUGCGCCCCAUUAGUUAGUUGGUGAGGUAACGGCUCACCAAGGCGUUGAUGGGUAGGGGUUCUGAGAGGAUUACCCCCCACACUGGUACUGAGACACGGACCAGACUCCUACGGGAGGCAGCAGUAAGGAAUAUUGGGCAAUGGAGGCAACUCUGACCCAGCCAUGCCGCGUGCAGGAAGACUGCCCUAUGGGUUGUAAACUGCUUUUUCAGGGGACUAACCGUGGUUACGUGUAACCAACUGCAUGUACCCUGCGAAUAAGCAUCGGCUAACUCCGUGCCAGCAGCCGCGGUAAUACGGAGGAUGCGAGCGUUAUCCGGAUUUAUUGGGUUUAAAGGGUGCGUAGGCUAACAUGUAAGUCAGUGGUGAAAGACCCCGGCUUAACCGGGGGGUUGCCAUUGAAACUGUAUG
rnacentral:rRNA from 1 species